AAUAUGGCAAGAAUGAUGAGGCAAUCAGAUGUGUGAAGGGAUUUUGAACUUCUUCAUGACCUUGACUUCUAACGCCUAUUGACAUUAUAACUUGCCCAUU